rnacentral:tRNA from 1 species
GGGGAUUUAGCUCAGUGGUGUAAGCACCUGCCUGGCAAGCAUGAAAUCGUGAGUUCAAUCCCUAGUUCCCC